GUUCAAUUCCUCCUCCACCCCUUCCAGGUAUGACUUUCUGCUCUGCUAGAAGAAAUACUUGUUAUAGUGCAGAGAUCUCUCCAGAAACAUCAGCCACUGUCAGAGAUAACAUUCUCCAUUUUGUCUACUUGUCCACCACUGCACCAUGCAAACUACAGCUUGUGUAUACAAUGCAGAAUCUUACUUCCCAGAUGCCAAACUCCUUUCUUGGCACACAAAUAAAUCAAGAGCUACAUAUACUCUAACAAUCAUUCCAAUGGUAUCUACUUUU
rnacentral:lncRNA from 1 species